rfam:Canis lupus familiaris chromosome X, whole genome shotgun sequence.
AGGAGGAACAACCACAGUGGCGGCAGCCAGCUCUCCAGCCCUAGAUUCAGCUCCUGCAGUAACUAAGGAGCUCUCAGCCUGCAGGGGCCUGGAUGCUCCGUGGGUGG